GGGGGGCGAGCGUUGUCGGGAAUUACUGGGCGUAAAGCGCGCGCNAGGCGGUCCUUUAAGUCUGAUGUGAAAUUCCGNCGGCUCAACCGCGGGUGUGCAUUGGAAACUGGGGGACUUGAGUGCGGAAGAGGGGAGCGGAAUUCCCGGUGUAGCGGUGAAAUGCGUAGAGAUCGGGAGGAACACCAGUGGCGAAGGCGGCUCUCUGGUCCGCAACUGACGCUGAGGCGCGAAAGCGUGGGGAGCGAACAGGAUUAGAUACCCUGGUAGUCCACGCCGUAAACGAUGAGUGCUAAGUGUUAGAGGGGUUUGACCCUUUAGUGCUGCAGCUAACGCAUUAAGCACUCCGCCUGGGGAGUACGGCCGCAAGGCUGAAACUCAAAGGAAUUGACGGGGGCCCGCACAAGCGGUGG
rnacentral:rRNA from 1 species